rnacentral:lncRNA from 1 species
CGCAGCGCGGCGCGGGAGCCUGGGGCUGGCGGACUCUCGUGCGCGGGGACUGCCUCCCCGCGCCCGCCGGCGGGAGGCGCGCCGGCUCGCGCCCCCGCCGCGCAGCUCGAGCUCCGACUCCCGCUCCGCUGCCACCUGACUCCCCCUCUCUCCCGCGGAAGCGCGCCUGGCUCCCGACCCACACCCAGCCUGGGGAGAAUUGCUUCUGCACUCCCCGGGCUGUGGCGUCUUUGGAGUUGGAUGUGAUCGUUUCUCAAAAUGGAACUGAAAAGUUGAGAGUUGCUUCUUUCUUUGCCCCUCUGCACUGUGGAAAAAAAAAAAAAACCCCAAAAACAAAACCUGUAUGCGCCUCCCUGUCUGCAGAAUGGGAGUAAUAACUGGAAAAAAAAAAAAAAAAACUAAGAAAAUAAGGAGAUGGCGGGGGUGGAGGGGGUUGAAAAUAAAACUUUCUGUGUUUUAGGAAACAAUCUUUAAUAAAGGGAUUUAAAAAUACUACCGGUGUUGUGGACU